rnacentral:lncRNA from 1 species
GGAUACUUGAUGGUGCACUGUGCUUGCACUAUAACUACAAUUUUUGAAGCUUUGGUGCUUCCUCUGGAAGUAAGGAUUAAGGGAACGAACUCCUUCUAGGUAUAAUGGUGUCUGCAUUUCGAUCAAGCGAGAUACGUACAAAAGUAGAUUAUAUUAUUAUAUCCGUAGUAAUUCUGCUUAGCUAGUAACCAUCUCCUCGGUUUGUCUUCAAAUAUACUUUCCUAGCAUAAGACAAAGGAUAUUACAUCUGAAAAAGGAAAGCAGAGGGCAACUUACUGCUCGGCGGAAGGCAAACAUCUCUUCUUGACCAGAUAGCAUGGAUGUUAUACCAGCUGGUGCACCUCCUGAACUCACACUCCCCUCUGCCAAAACAUCUCGCCGAAGUUUUGCACCUUCUGUCUCAGUUUCGAACUGAAAAC